rnacentral:rRNA from 1 species
UACGUAGGUGGCAAGCGUUGUCCGGAUUUACUGGGCGUAAAGGGCGCGUAGGCGGCAAUUCAAGUCAUCUGUGAAAUCUCCGGGCUUAACUCGGAACGGUCAGAUGAUACUGCUUUGCUAGAGUGCAGAAGGGGCAAUCGGAAUUCUCGGUGUAGCGGUGAAAUGCGUAGAUAUCGAGAGGAACACCAGAGGUGAAGACGGGUUGCUGGGCUGACACUGACGCUGAGGCGCGAAAGCCAGGGGAGCAAACGGG